rnacentral:rRNA from 1 species
CAAAAAAAAAAUAUGAGGGUGUGGUUUGCUGGCACAGCGUCCGCCCCAAGUAUUUUUCACCCAUGUCUUUUGCGCACUUUUUGUUUCCUGGGCGAGUUCGCUCGCCACCAGGACCCAACCAUAAACCUUUUUUUAUGCAGUUGCAAUCAGCGUCAGUAUAAUAAUUCAAUUUAUUAAAACUUUCAACAACGGAUCUCUUGGUUCUGGCAUCGAUGAAGAACGCAGCGAAAUGCGAUACGUAGUGUGAAUUGCAGAAUUCAGUGAAUCAUCGAAUCUUUGAACGCACAUUGCGCCCUUUGGUAUUCCAAAGGGCAUGCCUGUUCGAGCGUCAUUUGUACCCUCAAGCUUUGCUUGGUGUUGGGCGUCUUUUUGUCUCUCCCCUUGUUGGGGGAGACUCGCCUUAAAACGAUUGGCAGCCGACCUACUGGUUUUCGGAGCGCAGCACAAAUUUGCGCCUUCCAAUCCACGGGGCGGCAUCCAGCAAGCCUUUGUUUUCUAUAACAAAUCCACAUUUUGACCUCGGAUCAGGUAGGGAUACCCGCUGAACUUAAGCAUAUCAAUAAGCGGAGGAA